rnacentral:rRNA from 1 species
AUUGAACGCUGGCGGAAUGCCUAACACAUGCAAGUCGAACGAGGUGUAGCAAUACACCUAGUGGCGGACGGGUGAGGAACACAUAGGAAUCUACCUUUUAGUGGGGGAUAACCCGGGGAAACUCGGAUUAAUACCGCAUACGAUCUACGGAUGAAAGUGGGGACCGCAAGGCCUCACGCUGUUAGAUGAGCCUAUGUCCGAUUAGCUAGUUGGUAGGGUAAUGGCCUACCAAGGCGACGAUCGGUAGCUGGUUUGAGAGAACGAUCAGCCACACUGGAACUGAGACACGGUCCAGACUCCUACGGGAGGCAGCAGUGGGGAAUAUUGGACAAUGGGCGCAAGCCUGAUCCAGCAAUUCCGCGUGGGUGAAGAAGGCCU